GAUGAUGUAGCUCAAUUAGUAGAGCACAUGCCUAGCAUGCAUGUGGUCCUGGGUUCAAUCCCCAGUACCUCCA
rnacentral:tRNA from 1 species